rnacentral:misc_RNA from 1 species
GAUGAAGAACGUAGCGAAAUGCGAUACUUGGUGUGAAUUGCAGAAUCCCGUGAACCAUCGAGUCUUUGAACGCAAGUUGCGCCCGAAGCCAUUAGGCCGAGGGCACGCCUGCCUGGGUGUCACACACCGUUACCCUCGCGCCAACGUCCAUCGUUGGCCGCGGCGCGGGGCGUGCGCUGACCUCCCGCGAGCGGGGUCUCGUGGUUGGUUGAAAAUCGAGUUCGCGGUCGAGGGUGCCGUGAUGAAAUGGUGGAUGGGCGACGCCCGAGGCCAAUCACGCGCGACUCUGUCCGGCUCGGACUCCUGGACCCCUUCGGCGUCUCCGGACGCUCUUGGCGAGACCUCAGGUCAGGCGGGGCUACCCGCUGAGUUUAAGCAUAUCAAUCGGAGGA